rnacentral:rRNA from 1 species
AUUGAACGCUGGCGGCAGGCCUAACACAUGCAAGUCGAACGGCAGCGGGGGAUAGCUUGCUAUCCUGCCGGCGAGUGGCGGACGGGUGAGUAAUGCAUGGGGAGCUGCCCAGUCGAGGGGGAUAACAACUAGAAACGGUUGCUAAUACCGCAUACGCCCUAAGGGGGAAAGGUGGGGAACUUCGGUCCUACCGCGAUUGGAUGCGCCCAUGUGGGAUUAGCUAGUUGGUGAGGUAACGGCUCAACAAGGCGACGAUCUCUAGCUGGUCUGAGAGGAUGACCAGCCACACUGGAACGGAGACACGGUCCAGACUCCUACGGGAGGCAGCAGUGGGGAAUAUUGCACAAUGGGGGAAACCCUGAUGCAGCCAUGCCGCGUGUGUGAAGAAGGCCUUCGGGUUGUAAAGCACUUUCAGUCAGGAGGAAGGGGUGAUGGCUAAUAUCCAUCAUCAUUGACGUUACUGACAGAAGAAGCACCGGCUAACUCCGUGCCAGCCGCCGCGGUAA